CCUACGGGGGGCAGCAGUGAGGAAUAUUGGUCAAUGGACGAGAGUCUGAACCAGCCAAGUAGCGUGAAGGAUGACUGCCCUAUGGGUUGUAAACUUCUUUUAUAUGGGAAUAAAAUGUUCCACGUGUGGGAUUUUGUAUGUACCAUAUGAAUAAGGAUCGACUAACUCCGUGCCAGCAGCCGCGGUAAUACGGAGGAUCCGAGCGUUAUCCGGAUUUAUUGGGUUUAAAGGGAGCGUAGGUGGAUUGUUAAGUCAGUUGUGAAAGUUUGCGGCUCAACCGUAAAAUUGCAGUUGAAACUGGCAGUCUUGAGUACAGUAGAGGUGGGCGGAAUUCGUGGUGUAGCGGUGAAAUGCUUAGAUAUCACGAAGAACUCCGAUUGCGAAGGCAGUUCACUGGACUGCAACUGACACUGAGGCUCGAAAGUGUGGGUAUCAAACAGGAUUAGAUACCCGUGUAGUC
rnacentral:rRNA from 1 species